rnacentral:piRNA from 1 species
UAAGUGUGCAUAGCUGAUCCGAGAUGUUG